UUUUAUUCACAAGGCACAACAGAGUUCCCACUGAAGGCAGAAGAGACAAGAAUAGCCAACUCCCAUAUAAUAGCAGUAAUAUCCUCCCAUUGCAACACCCCCUAAUGCUCCUCGGAUUGUAUAGUGCUUUGUGAUAACAAAGCUAGUAUGGGGCAGGACCAAGAAUCUUACCAGAAAUUCAGGAGAGUGGGAGAAGUAGGUUCAAGGAGUAGGUGGCUUGAGUGGGAGCUAUAGAGGCAGGGAGGGGUUGGAUCUGCAGGCCUUGUAAGGCACACAGAAGAGUUCGAACUUUAUCCUAGGGCAAUGGGGAGCCAUAGAAUACUGGGGAGCCAGGGGGUCAGAUUUGACUCAGAAACUCGACAUUCACUGCUGUGUGGGAGUUGGCGAGGGAUGGCUC
rnacentral:lncRNA from 1 species